GACGAACGCUGGCGGCGUGGAUUAGGCAUGCAAGUCGAACGGUAUCAUCCUUUCGGGGGUGAGAGAGUGGCGAACUGGUGAGUAACACGUAGGUUAUCUACCCUCAAGACGGGGACAACCCAGGGAAACUUGGGCUAAUACCGGAUGUGAGCAACUUUUAGUUGUUUGAAAGGUGGCGUAAGCUGUCGCUUGGGGAUGAGCCUGCGUCCUAUUAGUUAGUUGGUGAGGUAACGGCUCACCUAGGCAAUGAUAGGUAGGCGGCCUUAACGGGUGGUCGCCCACACUGGGAUUGAGAUACGGCCCAGACUCCUACGGGAGGCAGCAGUCGAGAAUAGUCUACAAUGGUCGGAAGACUGAUAGUGCGACGCCGCGUGAACGAUGAAUCCCUUCGGGGUUAAAGUUCUUUUAUAUGUGAGCAGUGCUUCUUAUAUUAACAGUAUGGGGAAGAGAUAUUAGCAUAUGAAUAAGCAACGGCUAACUCCGUGCCAGCAGCCGCGGUAAAA
rnacentral:rRNA from 1 species